UAAUCUUUUUACUCUAAAAAGAAAUUUAUUUUAAUUUAUCGGUAAAAUGCAGUACGAAAAUUGUACUUAUAUACAUAGAAAUAACCAAAUAGCGUACAAAAUUAAAACGUGUCUGUUAUUUUAAAGAAAGUCUCAAAGUAAAUAAAAUCCUAAUAUUUGAUUUGUGUCAAUGGUAUAAGGUUUUACUGUACGUUAGUACGGUCUUUACCCAAUGUGAUAAACCUGUAGUGGAGGAGAUAUUAUAUCCCUCGGAAAUCGAUUGGAAGAAAACAAUUAAAAUCGCAGAGUCCUGCGACAAGCAUCUUCUCCAAAUAUUAACAGCAAAAUACAUGAAAAAUGUACCAAACUAUCUCUUAAGUAAGAUACUGGCCGAAAAAGUGAUAGGCGAUUAUUCGACAUCACUACCUUGCGUGAUCGCAAGACCCUCAAUCGGUACAUACAUAUAUUUUAAUACUUAUUUGCAUUUUCUAAUACAUUUAUAUACUUACAUUUACUUUUACCUUACUCAAGUUCCCUGGUUCAACGUUCUUAUUGAAAUUGAUCUUAUUAAACUGUUUGUAAGAAUCGCUUAUUUAUAUAAACAUGUAAAUAAUUGUAAGCUAUUUUAUUUAAAAAUAUAAAGAAAUCACCGAUAAUUUCUAUCAUAAAUGAAUUUGACAAAACGUAUUUCUUCAUUGGUACUCACUAAUUUUGUUUUGUGCUAUUCUUUACCAAUAUUUAAUCUUGAGAAAUUUAUCUCCUUAUUUUUCAUCAUAUAGACAUACAAUAAUUUUUUACUAAUAGCUUGUGUUAGAUACAUGUUAUACUACAGAAAAUAUGUAAAAAAUAUCAUGAGUAGGUAUGCUACAUAUAUAUUAAUAAAUGAAUGGAUAUGAUUAAAAAUCAAUGGAAACAAAAUUAUUUUGACACAAAAAUGCAUCUGGGAAAACUUUGAAUUAUU